GACAGAGGGUGCAAACGUUGUUCGGAAUUACUGGGCGUAAAGCGCGUGUAGGCGGUCAGGCAAGUCGGAUGUGAAAUCCCGUGGCUCAACCACGGAAGUGCACCCGAAACUGCUUGACUUGAGUCCCGGAGAGGAAGGCGGAAUGCUUGGUGUAGAGGUGAAAUUCGUAGAUAUCAAGCGGAACACCGGUGGCGAAGGCGGCCUUCUGGACGAGGACUGACGCUGAGACGCGAAAGCGUGGGGAGCAAACAGG
rnacentral:misc_RNA from 1 species